UAAUGCUUAGGAAUCUGCCUAUUAGUGGGGGAUACAUUUCGAAAGGAAUGCUAAUACCGCAUACGUCCUACGGGAGAAAGCAGGGGAUCUUCNGACCUUGCCUUAAUAAAUGAGCCUAAGUCGGAUUANCUAGUUGGUGGGGUAAAGGCCUCCACNGCGACAAUCUGUCUCGGGUCUGCACGAUAAUCCGCACACUGGGACUGAGACCCCGCCC
rnacentral:rRNA from 1 species